rnacentral:rRNA from 1 species
CCUACGGGAGGCUGCAGUGGGGAAUAUUGGACAAUGGGGGCAACCCUGAUCCAGCCAUGCCGCGUGUGUGAAGAAGGCCCUCGGGUUGUAAAGCACUUUCAGUGAGGAAGAACGCCUGGUGGUUAAUACCCAUCAGGAAAGACAUCACUCACAGAAGAAGCACCGGCUAACUCCGUGCCAGCAGCCGCGGUAAUACGGAGGGUGCGAGCGUUAAUCGGAAUUACUGGGCGUAAAGCGCGCGUAGGUGGCUUGAUAAGCCGGUUGUGAAAGCCCCGGGCUCAACCUGGGAACGGCAUCCGGAACUGUCAAGCUAGAGUGCAGGAGAGGAAGGUAGAAUUCCCGGUGUAGCGGCGAAAUGCGUAGAGAUCGGGAGGAAUACCAGUGGCGAAGGCGGCCUUCUGGACUGACACUGACACUGAGGUGCGAAAGCGUGGGUAGCAAACAGGAUUAGAUACCCUAGUAGUC